AUUGAACGCUGGCGGCAGGCCUAACACAUGCAAGUCGAACGAGCGGCGGACGGGUGAGUAAUGUCUGGGGAACUGCCCGAUGGAGGGGGAUAACUACUGGAAACGGUAGCUAAUACCGCAUACCAUCGGAUGUACCCAUAUGGGAUUAGCUAGUAGGUGGGGUAAAGGCGCACCUAGGCGACGAUCUCUAGCUGGUCUGAGAGGAUGACCAGCCACACUGGAACUGAGACACGGUCCAGACUCCUACGGGAGGCAGCAGUGGGGAAUAUUGCACAAUGGGCGCAAGCCUGAUGCAGCCAUGCCGCGUGUAUGAAGAAGGCCUUCGGGUUGUAAAGUACUUUCAGCGGGGAGGCGUUACUCGCAGAAGAAGCACCGGCUAACUCCGUGCCAGCAGCCGCGGUAAUAC
rnacentral:rRNA from 1 species